ensembl:lncRNA
CUGGGAGGGAACGGCGGCAGCGACGACGACGACGACGAGCGGUCUCCAGAACUGACCUGAGCUAGUGUGAUCAGUCUGCCUGCCUCUGUGAUCCCCCGCAGCACUGGCUGGAAGUCCGCCGCGUGUCAGUGAGGAGCUGCUGCAGAAGGAAGAAGAAGAAGCGGCGUGGGGACCUGGGAGGCAGGAGCAAGCAAGAAGAGGAAGCGGAAGCGUGCAGAUGCGGGGGGGAAGGAGAGAGGCUCCCUGGGCAAAGCACCUGUCCCGUUAGCAGGGGCACAGUCACGUUUGAGUUGAGAGCUGCCGGCGCCUUUGGAAGAAGAAGCGGCGUGGGGACCUGGGAGGCAGGAGCAAGCAAGAAGAGGAAGCGGAAGCGUGCAGAUGCGGGGGGGAAGGAGAGAGGCUCCCUGGGCAAAGCACCUGUCCCGUUAGCAGGGGCACAGUCACGUUUGAGUUGAGAGCUGCCGGCGCCUUUGGUGACCAGGCUGGCGUUGUGCUGGGCGACCUCCCCGUAAGCGGGGCUCGGGUCUUUGCUGUAGUUGGCCUUUUGCCUUGCUGCUCCUUUGGCUGCCUGGGGAGCGUGGCCCCCUGUAACGGAGGGCGAGAGCCACCUCUCCGCACCUGAGUGGGAAAUGGAGCUCGCCGGACCCCAAGGCCACCCUGUAAGCAGGGUAGUGCCGUUUCCCUGCCCCUCUUCCUCCCCCGGCCCCUCGGCAUCGUUGCCUGAUGGUGGCUUGUCAAUGCGACGGCCCCGUACUCGGGGUGUGUGUCCCAAGCUUCGGAGCCCUCUGUCCCUGAGCAGCCCGCCCGCCCUGUAAUCAGGUGUGGGGAGGCUGCAGCGUUGCAGCCGGCUGCUUUAGCCAUCCAGCUGGUGGGAGUGACCCCUCCCUGUCCCGUCAGAGGGUG